rnacentral:rRNA from 1 species
UACGUAGGUGGCAAGCGUUAUCCGGAAUUAUUGGGCGUAAAGAGGGAGCAGGCGGCAGCAAAGGUCUGUGGUGAAAGACUGAAGCUUAACUUCAGUAAGCCAUAGAAACCGGGCGGCUAGAGUGCAGGAGAGGAGAGUGGAAUUCCAUGUGUAGCGGUGAAAUGCGUAGAUAUAUGGAGGAACACCGGUGGCGAAAGCGGCUCUCUGGUCUGUAACUGACGCUGAGGUUCGAAAGCGUGGGUAGCAAACAGG